UUUAACGGCCGCGGUAUUCUGACCGUGCAAAGGUAGCGCAAUCACUUGUCUUUUAAAUGAAGACCUGUAUGAAUGGCUUAACGAGGGCUAAACUGUCUCCUUUUCUUAAUCAAUAAAAUUGAUCUCCCCGUGCAGAAGCGGGGAUUAUACCAUAAGACGAGAAGACCCUGUGGAGCUUAAGACAAUAGGCAGACCAUGUUAAUAAAAUAAAAACUAAUUGGUUACUACCUCUUAUGUCUUUGGUUGGGGCGACCACGGGAAAAUAAAUAACUCCCGUAUGGAUAAGAAUAACCUCUUACAACCCAGAACUACAAUUCUAAGUAACAAAAUUUUGACCAAAAAUGAUCCAGCACUGCUGAUCAAUGAACUAAGUUACCCCAGGGAUAACAGCGCAAUCCUCUUCUAGAGCCCAUAUCAACGAGAGGGUUUACGACCUCGAUGUUGGAUCAGGACAUCCUAAUGGUGCAACCGCUAUUAAGGGUUCGUUUGUUCAACGAUUAAAGUCCU
rnacentral:rRNA from 1 species